AUUGAACGCUGGCGGCAUGCUUUACACACGCAAGUCGAACGGCAGCGCGGGCUUCGGCCUGGCGGCGAGUGGCGAACAGGUGAGUAUUACAUCGGAACGUGCCCCGUAGUGGGUUAUUGCUCGGCGAAAGCCGGAUUAAUACCGCAUACUAACUGCGGCUGAAACCGGGUGAUCUUCGGACCUCUCGCUCUUGUGGCGGCCGAUGGCAGAUUAGCUAGUUGGUGGGGUAAAGGCCUACCAAGGCGACCAUCUGUAGCUGGUCUGACAGAACGACUAGCCACACGGGGACUGAGACACGGCCCAGGCUCCUGCGGGAGGCAGCAGUGGGGAAUGUGGGACAAUGGGCGGAAGUCUGAUCCAGCAAUGCCGAGUGUGUGAUGGAGGCCUUCGGGGUGUAAAGCACUUUUGGCGGGAACGAAAAGGACUGUGCCAAUACCACGGUUCGAUGACGGUACCCGCAGAAUAAGCACCGGCUAACUACGUG
rnacentral:rRNA from 1 species